rnacentral:lncRNA from 1 species
GCAAUGUGCAGAUAUACAGCAGUACUCACCUCAAAUUACAGAAAGUCAUACAACAAGAUCCCUGCUGGUUCCAUGAUACACACAUUCCAUACACAGACACAGACACAUUCCAUACACACACACACAUUCCAUACACGUGCACACACACAUUCCAUACACACAGACACACAUUCCAUACACACAGACACAUAUUCGAUACAUUCCACACACACACACAUUCCAUACACACACAUUCCAUACACACACAUUCCAUACACACACAUUCCAUACACACACAUUCCAUACAUACACACACAUUCCACACACACACAUUCCAUACACAUACACACACAUUCCAUACACGCACACACACAUUCCAUACACACAAACAUUCCAUACACACACACACAUUCCAUACACAUACACAGACACACAUUCCAUACACACACACACAUUCCAUACACAGACACACAUUCCAUAAACACACACACAUUCCAUACACACACACAUUCCAUACACACACACAUUCCAUAUACACACAUUCCAUACACACACAUAGACACACAUUCCAUAUACACACACGCCAUACACACAUUCCAAACACACACACACAUUCCAUACACACACAUAUUCCAUACACACACAUUCCAUACACACAUACAUACACACACACAUACACAGACACACAUUCCAUGCACACACACACAUUCCAUACACACACACAUUCCAUACACACACCUUCCAUAGCAACAGACACACGCUCCAUACACACACAUUGCAUACACAUACACACACAUUCCAUACACACACAUUCCAUACACAUGCACAGUUACCCAUUCCAUACACACACACAUUCCAUACACAGACACACACCAUACACACACACAGACACACAUUCCAUACACACACACAUUCUGUAUGCACACACACACAUUCCAUACCCACACACACACAUUCGAUACGCACAUAUAUUCCAUAUACACACACACAUUCCAUACACAGACACAUUCCAUACACACACAGACACAUUCCAUACACAUACACAGACACAUUCUGUACACACAGACACACAUUCCAUACACAGACACAUUCCAUACACACACAGACACAUUCCAUACACAUACACAGACACAUUCUGUACACACAGACACACAUUCCAUACACACACACAUUCAGACACAUUCCAUACUCACACACACACUUUCCAUACACAUACACAGACAUGCAUUCCAUACACACACACACAGUCCAUGCACACACACAAACACAUUCCAUACACAUACACACAUUCCACACACAUACACACACAGACAUUCCAUACACACACAGAGGCAUAUUCCAUACACACACACACACAUUCCAUACACACACACAUUCCAUACGCACAAACACAUUCCAUACACACACACAUAUUCCAUAAACACAAACACAUUCCAUACACACACACAGACUAAUUCCAUACACAGAGACACAUUCCAUACACUUACGCAGACACAUUCCACACACACACACAUUCCAUGCACACACAUAGACUCAUUCCGUACACACACAUAGACACAUUCCAUACACACACAGACACAUUCCAUAUGCAUACGCAGGUAUGUCCCCAAAGAAAUAGAUUGUCUCCAUCAUAUGCACAUUAA